GGCAUGGUGGUGCAGUGGUUAGCACUGCUGCCUCACAGCAAGACAGUUGCGGGUUCAAGUCUGGCCUGGGGCC